rnacentral:rRNA from 1 species
GAUGAACGCUGGCGGCGUGCCUAAUACAUGCAAGUCGAGCGAACAGACGAGGAGCUUGCUCCUCUGACGUUAGCGGCGGACGGGUGAGUAACACGUGGAUAACCUACCUAUAAGACUGGGAUAACUUCGGGAAACCGGAGCUAAUACCGGAUAAUAUAUUGAACCGCAUGGUUCAAUAGUGAAAGACGGUUUUGCUGUCACUUAUAGAUGGAUCCGCGCCGCAUUAGCUAGUUGGUAAGGUAACGGCUUACCAAGGCAACGAUGCGUAGCCGACCUGAGAGGGUGAUCGGCCACACUGGAACUGAGACACGGUCCAGGCUCCUACGGGGGGCAGCAGUAGGGAAUCUUCCGCAAUGGGCGAAAGCCUGACGGAGCAACGCCGCGUGAGUGAUGAAGGUCUUCGGAUCGUAAAACUCUGUUAUUAGGGAAGAACAAAUGUGUAAGUAACUAUGCACGUCUUGACGGUACCUAAUCAGAAAGCCCCGGCUAACUACGUG